rnacentral:rRNA from 1 species
GUGAACGCUGGCGGUAGGCCUAACACAUGCAAGUCGAACGGCAGCACAGUAAGAGCUUGCUCUUACGGGUGGCGAGUGGCGGACGGGUGAGGAAUACAUCGGAAUCUACUUUUUCGUGGGGGAUAACGUAGGGAAACUUACGCUAAUACCGCAUACGACCUACGGGUGAAAGCAGGGGAUCUUCGGACCUUGCGCGAUUGAAUGAGCCGAUGUCGGAUUAGCUAGUUGGCGGGGUAAAGGCCCACCAAGGCGACGAUCCGUAGCUGGUCUGAGAAGAUGAGCACCCACCGUGGAACUGAGACACGGUCCAGACCCCGAGGGGAGGCCGCAGUGGGGAAUAUGGGAAAAUGGGGGAAAGCCUGAUCAAGCCAUCCCGCGUGGGUGAAGAAGGCCUUCGGGUUGUAACGCCCUUUUUUUGGGAAAAAAAAGCAGCAGGUUAAACCCCCCCUUUUUUGCCGGAACCAAAAAAAAAAGCCCCGCCUAACUUCUG